GCGCCGAGCGCGGAGGUUCCCGGGCGCCGCGGCCCCCUGGCAGCGGGGAGACAAAGGGGUGGACGGACUCGCAACCGGGCCCCCGACCCGCGCCGCCGACGGCGGUCGGAACCAGCUGGCGGCAGCCCCGAGACGUGGACUUGCUUGCAAUGCAAAACUGCACGCCCCGCCCUUUGCCCUCCCGGGAGAGCUUGGUUUUGAGACGCCGAGGAAAAGCCACGAGAGAAGCAAAAUAGCCUCCUGACCAAGUAUUCCUCUGCGUCGAAGAGACAGUCAAUGUUGUAGUAAUUGCUUUAAACUAAGUGGAAAUUUGGAGAAAGUUCAAGUGGAGUUUUAUCUUCAUCUGGGUCUAACUGGAAUACCUACUCACAUUCAAUGAAAACAUUCUAGUGGCUUGUUUUUGGGGGUUUUUUUGUUGUUGUUGUUGCUUUUUUUUUUUAGAAUCAGAAAUAAGCAGAGAGCCUCAGGAUGGUAAAUUUUCUAAUGAAACCAACUAGACACAAAAAUAUGAAUUGUAUGAUUUUUUGUAUUAUUGGUCUCCAUAAAGAAACCACAAUAUAAAAACCUUUAUUAAUGCUUUUAUUAAAUUUCAAGACAGCAAAGAUUUUAAUAAAGUACCCAGAAACUCAAGAUAGAAAUAGCUAUUGCCGAGAACCUAACAUGAACUCUGCCUGUGAACAGCGAUUAAGAGAGACUAAUAGCAGUGAUACAUGCCACUCAGAAAUGAAAGAACCCUAGUAAUUAUGAACUUCAAACAAAUCUAGCAAAUUAGUAUUAAUUUUGUUUGUAUGAAAUGUGUUCAUGAUAAUAAAAACAUCUAAAUUCUUGA